GGCGAUUUCAAUGGCGAGUGCAUGCGAAUUCUUCUCGGAGCAAAUCGACGGCGGUUUUGACUGUUUUCCGGCGGAUUGGGUCCUCGAAUCGUGUAGGGUAAAUGGAGAGAGAGCACUAGGGAUUCUUGAUGCUGAUGUUACUUCCUUCUAAACACAGCCCAAGGUCUGAUUCUAGACUCGACACCUAAACAAAUAAAAAGGUGGUUUAUUUAAAGCCAUGGAGUCAAAGCUCUUGGUCCUAGGUUGAUGAUGACAUGAGUCAAGAGCCACCUGAGAUCGACAAGAUUCCCACCAUGUAUGAGCCACCAAGGACAAGAUCCGGUGCAAGAACUCUUAGAGAGAAGUUUGGAGAAGCUGUGGAAGGACUAAUGCCACAGCAAGAGCUUGAAGUCCUCAACAAGAAGAUGAGCACACUCGGCAUCACAAGUCAAGAAAGUCAAGAAGACUUAAUGGAUCAAGCUCUCGUGGAACAAGUGGAGACUAAAGCUUGGCCUCUUUUGAAGAUCACUCCCGGCCCAACUCUAUUCUCCAUCACUCAGCUCCCAAACGACAUCACUUAGACUUAAGACGCGGAGACGCCUCAAACUUUCCAUUUUCUGGUAAGUCUUUCAAUUUGAAUUCAAAUAACGAGUUUUCCUUUUGUUGUUUUGCAGGAAUUAAACUUUAAUCCUUUAAGUUAUUUUUCCUUUUUACAUUUUGUCUUUAAGUUUUAGAGAGACUCUCGAUUGUAUUAGGUUUCC